ACAUCGUAGAAAAAAAUACAUUGUAAAAGGACAACAAAAAGACAUUAAAUCAUGCCGACGUGCUGCAUAAAAAAUUGUGCAAGCCGCACAGACCAUACGAGCACAAGGGGUUUGAAAUUCUUUAGAUUCUCCAAGGAGACUGACAUUCGUCAGCAAUGGCUUGAUGCUUGUCAAAG